rnacentral:rRNA from 1 species
CCUACGGGCGGCUGCAGUGGGGAAUAUUGGACAAUGGGGGCAACCCUGAUCCAACCAUGCCGCGUGUGUGAAGAAGGCCCUCGGGUUGUAAAGCACUUUCAGUGAGGAAGAACGCCUGGUGGUUAAUACCCAUCAGGAAAGACAUCACUCACAGAAGAAGCACCGGCUAACUCCGUGCCAGCAGCCGCGGUAAUACGGAGGGUGCGAGCGUUAAUCGGAAUUACUGGGCGUAAAGCGCGCGUAGGUGGCUUGAUAAGCCGGUUGUGAAAGCCCCGGGCUCAACCUGGGAACGGCAUCCGGAACUGUCAAGCUAGAGUGCAGGAGAGGAAGGUAGAAUUCCCGGUGUAGCGGUGAAAUGCGUAGAGAUCGGGAGGAAUACCAGUGGCGAAGGCGGCCUUCUGGACUGACACUGACACUGAGGUGCGAAAGCGUGGGUAGCAAACAGGAUUAGAUACCCGGGUAGUC